rnacentral:tRNA from 1 species
ACCUGGCUGGCUCAGUCAGUGGAGCACAUGACUCUUGAUCUUGGGGCUGUGAGUUCAAGCCCCAUGUUGGGUG